rnacentral:lncRNA from 1 species
GAUGGGGUGUCUCUUGUGCUAACAUUUCUGGGCUCGUACCUGUGCCAGGCACCAGGGUGGAGGCUGGAGAGUGUGGUGUGAGCAGGCCGGCCCGGCCUGGCCUUCCCCAGUUGUCAGACCUGUGGGCAGCACACGGGUCAGUGGGCUCCGACCCUGGAAGGGGUGCAGGCAGAAGACACCAGUCCUGCGGCUUCCCCAGCCCAUCGGCAGAGGCCUUUGGCGUCUCCUAGCUCCUGGUCGUGCCUGCUCUGUCUCCACCUGUAGGAGCGAGGCCUGAACUGUCUGCCCCUCCCAGCUCCUGGGCAGAGUCUCGUGGUCAUUAGGGCUGAGGCGGAAGGGUGCUGGCACAGGGCCGCGAGCUGCCAGGGCUGUGGCCCAGGGUGAGAGCUGACGUCUGUUUGGGAGCAUCUCUCCCUGCCAAGGGUUGAGAUCCCUCCGGGGCCACAUGCCUUCCCUCUGACACAGGAGCUGGCAUCUGACCCUCCUGGAGCCUGGACCCCAGCCUCACCCCGGAGUGGUGCGGUGACAGCUGCGGCAUCGUAGUGACCUCAAGGCCCACACGUGCCCCCUCCAGAUGAGCCUGCCACCUCCCAGGCCCCCUCACGCAGCCAGGGAAGGCCCCACACAAGGGGCCCAGACCCCAGGCCUCGGCUUCCAGAAAGGCCUGCUGAGGGCAUUCCAGUGCCUUCUUGGAGAGCUUGGACACAGAGGACUGGGCCUUGCUGGGCCUGAGAAAGCUCAAGUGGACCAGUGACUGGGCCUGACUUCAGCCCUGGGACCCGGAAGGAGGAUCCUGGGCCAGCUGCCGUGGUGGUGGCCGUCGAACACCCUGCCACCGGGGCCAGGCCGCACGCCAGCAAGAAUGGGGUGAGUGCGUCCAUGGACCAGAGGCAGUGGGCAGAGGGCCUGUGUGAGCCACCACAGCGGGGCCCCCAGGAGGGCCCAGGGGCUUGGCAGGAAGAGGCUGGGGUGGACCCCUAGGUCCCCUCGGGCAAAGGAAGGGGUCAUGAAGCACCCAAGAGAAUGCACCUCCUGGGUGGAGGAAACUGCGGGGGGUGGGCAGCAGGGCGUCUCCAGGGAGCUGGAAGAUGCCCAUCUGAGUCCCCUGUAGCCAUCCACCCCCCCUGGUCUCCAACUGUCAUGGGACUGGAC